rnacentral:rRNA from 1 species
GUGGUGCUCGUUAUUAUUGGGUCUAAAUCGUCCGUAGUCGGCUGAGUAGAUGCCCGGGUAAAUCGAAGCGCUCAACGUUUCGAAUUCCGGGUAGACCGCUCGGCUAGGGAUUGGGAGAGGUGCAAGGUACUCUGAGGGUAGGGGUAAAAUCCUGUAAUCCUUGGGGGACCACCAGUGGCGAAGGCGUUACACUAGAACAAGUCCGACGAUCAGGGACGAAGCCCUGGGGCGCAAACGGGAUUAGAUACCCCGGUAGUCCAGGGUGUAAACGCUGUCGGCUUGGUGUCGGGGAUCCUACGCGGGUACCCGGUGCCGGAGCGAAGGUGUUAAGCCGACAACCUGGGGAGUACGGUCGCAAGACUGAAACUU